rnacentral:misc_RNA from 1 species
CAACCCUCAAGCUCUGCUUGGUAUUGGGUGUUACCUUUUGUCUGGUACAUCUUAAAAUCAGUGGCGGUGCCAUUCAGCUUCAAGCACAGUAAUACUUCUUGCUUUGGAGGUUGGGUGUUUGCUUGCCAGCAAGUCCUUAUUAUCAAA